GAUGAACGCUGGCGGCGUGCCUAAUACAUGCAAGUCGAGCGAACAGACGAGGAGCUUGCUCCUCUGACGUUAGCGGCGGACGGGUGAGUAACACGUGGAUAACCUACCUAUAAGACUGGGAUAACUUCGGGAAACCGGAGCUAAUACCGGAUAAUAUAUUGAACCGCAUGGUUCAAUAGUGAAAGACGGCUUUGCUGUCACUUAUAGAUGGAUCCGCGCCGCAUUAGCUAGUUGGUAAGGUAACGGCUUACCAAGGUAACGAUGCGUAGCCGACCUGAGAGGGGGAUCGGCCACACUGAAACUGAGACACGGUCCAGACUCCUACGGGAGGCAGCAGUAGGGAAUCUUCCGCAAUGGGCGAAAGCCUGACGGAGCAACGCCGCGUGAGUGAUGAAGGUCUUCGGAUCGUAAAACUCUGUUAUUAGGGAAGAACAAAUGUGUAAGUAACUAUGCACGUCUUGACGGUACCUAAUCAGAAAGCCACGGCUAACUACGU
rnacentral:rRNA from 1 species